AGCGAACGCUGGCGGCAGGCUUAACACAUGCAAGUCGAGCGGGCGUAGCAAUACGUCAGCGGCAGACGGGUGAGUAACGCGUGGGAACAUACCUUUUGGUUCGGAACAACACAGGGAAACUUGUGCUAAUACCGGAUAAGCCCUUACGGGGAAAGAUUUAUCGCCGAAAGAUUGGCCCGCGUCUGAUUAGCUAGUUGGUGAGGUAACGGCUCACCAAGGCGACGAUCAGUAGCNGGUCUGAGAGGAUGAUCAGCCACAUUGGGACUGAGACACGGCCCAAACUCCUGCGGGAGGCAGCAGUGGGGAAUAUUGGACAAUGGGCGCAAGCCUGAUCCAGCCAUGCCGCGUGAGUGAUGAAGGCCCUAGGGUUGUAAAGCUCUUUUGUGCGGGAAGAUAAUGAC
rnacentral:rRNA from 1 species